rnacentral:lncRNA from 1 species
CACCUGAGGGGGAGGGGGCAGGGGACAGGCUCACACCCUGAAGGGGAGGGAGGGGGGACAGGCUCACCCUGAAGGGGAGGGAGAGGGGACAGGCUCACCCUGAAGGGGAGGGAGGGGGCACAGGCUCACCCUGAAGGGGAGGGAGAGGGGACAGGCUCACCCUGACGGGGAGAUACACGCAGGGCCCAGACCUGAGGGCAGCAGGUGAGGGGCCGCGAAGGGAGCUAGCGACGCAGAGACUCCCUCUGAGGAGAAGGCGAAGACCUGCGUCCUGUGGCUGCAGUGGGUUGAUCAGUGCCCCGCCCCCCGGGAACUGGAGCUGUCUGUCACUAGCCUGCACGUCUCAGACCCUGAAAACUCCAUUCCCAGUCCUUAGUGAUCCUCUCCUGGUGAUGCCAGGAAGCAGCGUUGCCAAGCCCUGUGCUGGGGAGCUGAUCCCGACCCUGAAGGAGCCCAGACCACGGAGAGAGAGAAGUAGCCACGAACGGAACUGAAGACAGUUCAUAACGCUGUGAUAGAGGACGACGGACACCUUGCUGUGGGGCCACUUAAAAUGUGUAAAUACAUACCCUCUGCAUUUCCAUUUGAAGAGUAGGAGUGUAUUAAUAAUGUGGAGCAUUUGAUGUUAUUUGCUAAAUGAAAUUUAAAAACACAAAAACUACCACCAGAGGAUGCAGAAGAAAUGAGUCAUACCCAAGCAAGGGACCUGCUAUUGUAAUUCAGCCAUACCCAUUCAUUCAUUUCACAAGUAUUGCUGUGUGCCUACUAUGUGCCAGGCGUUAGGCAGUUCAAAAUAAUUAGCAAUUCUUUUCACUAUCCCAGCAAAAUCUCCCAAUUUUUGCCUGAGAAGCAGGGGAUAGUAAAGUGUUAUGGUCAUGCAUCCUGAUCUUGUCCCUUAGUUUUCUGUCUUCAAUUGUAAAACAAACGUAACUACUCUGAUUCUUCCGGAAAUCAUUCCCCAUGAUAUUCAGAUUUAUUGCCUGGAAUAUUGCAAUAUCCUGAUUGGUUUCUUUUUUUCUCUCGCCUCCCAACUUUCUAGAUUCUUUAAAAAUAUCAGUCAACAUUUCACUUUGCUCAAAACCCUGUAAAGGAUUUCCGUUUCACUCAGUGAGAGCCAAAGUUCUUCCAAUGGAAAAGUCGCUACACAGUCUGGCUUCCUCCUCCUCCUGUUAUGGAACCGAAGUGAGUUCUCUCCUGGUGAGUUAAAUCACACUCUCCACCAGGGGCAGCUGUCUCACAGAGUAAAGUAAAGUAUAUAUGCGGCAAAUAGGAGGCCACGCGGAAUCAUUUCCAGAGUCAUGGCGUCCCCGAACAAAGGAAAGCAGGGACAUUUAUUUUGGACAGGGAAUGAAUAUUCAAAAGGGAGAAGUGGGUAUUGGCUUGCGCAGGCUCAGCUGGAAAACAUGCUUCCACACACACUGCAGGUGAUGGCAAUAAGGCCUAAGUUCCUCCUAGAGAGAUCUUAGCGUUAAAAGUAAGGCAGAGGUCAUAGGU